UACAGAGGUCUCAAGCGUUGUUCGGAUUCAUUGGGCGUAAAGGGUGCGUAGGCGGCGCGGUAAGUCGGGUGUGAAAUCUCGGAGCUUAACUCCGAAACUGCAUUCGAUACUGCCGUGCUUGAGACCGGGAGAGGUGAGUGGAAUUCCCAGUGUAGCGGUGAAAUGCGUAGAUAUUGGGAGGAACACCAGUGGCGAAGGCGGCUCACUGGACCGGUACUGACGCUGAUGCGCGAAAGCGUGGGGAGCAAACGGG
rnacentral:rRNA from 1 species